rnacentral:rRNA from 1 species
UAAAACGCGUGAAAGCGGUCCACCUACCCCUGACAAAUAUCGUUCACCACAAUAAACCCUUAACCACUAUYGGAUGACUCCAUAACCUUAUGGAAGACAUUAUGCUUGAAUUAGUAACAAGAAUGAAAGAUUCUCCUAAAUGUGAGUAUAGGCCGCAAUGGACCAACCAACGGCAAUUAACGCUAAUAAACUAAAUACAAUAACCCUCCAAGAGAAACCUGUAAUACCCAACGUUAAUCUUACACAAGAACAUUUCAGGAAAGAUUAAAAGGAAGAGAAGGAACUCGGCAAAUAUCAACCCCGCCUGUUUACCAAAAACAUCGCCUCUUGCUUUAAUAUAAGAGGUCCAGCCUGCCCAGUGAUUAUUAAACGGCCACGGUACCCUAACCGCGCUAAGGUAGCACAAUUAAUUGUCCUUUAAAUGGGGACCAGAAUGAAUGGCAUCACGAGGGUUGCACUGUCUCCUCCCCCCAAUCAGUGAAAUUGACCUACCUGUGAAAAGGCAGGAAUAAAAAUAUUAGACGAGAAGACCCCAUGGAGCUUUAGACAUCGAGAAAAUCUGACCCCUCCCCCCAAUAGUCUAAGAUCUCUUCCUCUAAGUCUUCGGUUGGGGCGACCAUGGAGUAAAAACUAACCUCCACACCGAACGGAUUUUUCCUUAUCUACGAGCCACACCUCUAAGAAACAGAAUACUGACGCCCACUGAUCCGGACCCCGAUCAACGAACCAAGUUACCCUGGGGAUAACAGCGCUAUCUACCUCGAGAGUUCAUAUCGACAGGUGGGUUUACGACCUCGAUGUUGGAUCAGGGUGACCUAGUGGUGUAGCCGCUACAUGAGGUUCGUUUGU